rnacentral:rRNA from 1 species
GAUGAACGCUGGCGGCGUGCCUAAUACAUGCGAGUCGAGCGAACAGACGAGGAGCUUGCUCCUCUGACGUCAGCGGCGGACGGGUGAGUAACACGUGGAUAACCUACCUAUAAGACUGGGAUAACUUCGGGAAACCGGAGCUAAUACCGGAUAAUAUAUUGAACCGCAUGGUUCAAUAGUGAAAGACGGUUUUGCUGUCACUUAUAGAUGGAUCCGCGCCGCAUUAGCUAGUUGGUAAGGUAACGGCUUACCAAGGCGACGAUGCGUAGCCGACCUGAGAGGGUGAUCGGCCACACUGGAACUGAGACACGGUCCAGACUCCUACGGGAGGCAGCAGUAGGGAAUCUUCCGCAAUGGGCGAAAGCCUGACGGAGCAACGCCGCGUGAGUGAUGAAGGUCUUCGGAUCGUAAAACUCUGUUAUUAGGGAAGAACAAAUGUGUAAGUAACUAUGCACGUCUUGACGGUACCUAAUCAGAAAGCCACGGCUAACUACGUG